rnacentral:rRNA from 1 species
CCUACGGGGGGCAGCAGUGGGGAAUAUUGGACAAUGGGGGGAACCCUGAUCCAGCCAUGCCGCGUGUGUGAAGAAGGCCCUCGGGUUGUAAAGCACUUUCAGUGAGGAAGAACGCCUGGUGGUUAAUACCCAUCAGGAAAGACAUCACUCACAGAAGAAGCACCGGCUAACUCCGUGCCAGCAGCCGCGGUAAUAUGGAGGGUGCGAGCGUUAAUCGGAAUUACUGGGCGUAAAGCGCGCGUAGGUGGCUUGAUAAGCCGGUUGUGAAAGCCCCGGGCUCAACCUGGGAACGGCAUCCGGAACUGUCAAGCUAGAGUGCAGGCGAGGAAGGUAGAAUUCCCGGUGUAGCGGUGAAAUGCGUAGAGAUCGGGAGGAAUACCAGUGGCGAAGGCGGCCUUCUGGACUGACACUGACACUGAGGUGCGAAAGCGUGGGUAGCAAACAGGAUUAGAUACCCUUGUAGUC